UAUAAGUUAGCUCAAGUGGGUAGAGCUUGAGGCUCGCGACCGGGAGGCCCGGGUUUGAAUCUCGCAAUUCAUUU
rnacentral:tRNA from 1 species